ACUGUUUGGACGAGGGGCCCCUCUCGGGUUACCGAAUUCAGACAAACUCCGAAUGCCAAUCAAUUUAACUUGGGAGUCAGAACAUGGGUGAUAAGGUCCGUGUUCGAAAGGGAAACAGCCCAGACCACCAGCUAAGGUCCCAAAAUAUAUGUUAAGUGGAAAAGGAUGUGGCGUUGCCCAGACAACUAGGAUGUUGGCUUAGAAGCAGCCAUCAUUUAAAGAGUGCGUAAUAGCUCACUAGUCGAGUGACACUGCGCCGAAAAUGUACCGGGGCUAAACAUAUUACCGAAGCUGUGGAUUGUCCUUCGGACAAUGGUAGGAGAGCGUUCUAAGGGCGUUGAAGCAUGAUCGCAAGGACAUGUGGAGCGCUUAGAAGUGAGAAUGCCGGUGUGAGUAGCGAAAGACGGGUGAGAAUCCCGUCCACCGAUUGACUAAGGUUUCCAGAGGAAGGCUCGUCCGCUCUGGGUUAGUCGGGUCCUAAGCUGAGGCCGACAGGCGUAGGCGAUGGAUAACAGGUUGAUAUUCCUGUACCACCUAGUAUCGUUUUAAUCGAUGGGGGGACGCAGUAGGAUAGGCGAAGCGUGCUGUUGGAGUGCACGUCCAAGCAGUAAGGCUGAGUGUUAGGCAAAUCCGGCACUCGUUAGGCUGAGCUGUGAUGGGGAGAGGAAAUUGUUUCCUCGAGUCGUUGAUUUCACACUGCCGAGAAAAGCCUCUAGAUAGAUAACAGGUGCCCGUACCGCAAACCGACACAGGUAGUCAAGAUGAGAAUUCUAAGGUGAGCGAGCGAACUCUCGUUAAGGAACUCGGCAAAAUGACCCCGUAACUUCGGGAGAAGGGGUGCUCUUUAGGGUUCACGCCCAGAAGAGCCGCAGUGAAUAGGCCCAAGCGACUGUUUAUCAAAAACACAGGUCUCUGCUAAACCGUAAGGUGAUGUAUAGGGGCUGACGCCUGCCCGGUGCUGGAAGGUUAAGAGGAGUGGUUAGCUUCUGCGAAGCCACGAAUCGAAGCCCC
rnacentral:rRNA from 1 species